UAAGGAAUAUUGGUCAAUGGACGCAAGUCUGAACCAGCCAUGCCGCGUGAAGGAUGAAGGCCCUCUGGGUUGUAAACUUCUUUUACAGGGGAAGAAACCUCUUUUUUCCAAAAGAGUUGACGGUACCCUGGGAAUAAGCACCGGCUAACUCCGUGCCAGCAGCCGCGGUAAUACGGAGGGUGCAAGCGUUAUCCGGAUUCACUGGGUUUAAAGGGUGCGUAGGAGGGCAGGUAAGUCAGUGGUGAAAUCUCCGAGCUUAACUCGGAAACUGCCGUUGAUACUAUCUGUCUUGAAUUCUGUGGAGGUGAGCGGAAUAUGUCAUGUAGCGGUGAAAUGCUUAGAUAUGACAUAGAACACCAAUUGCGAAGGCAGCUCACUACACAGCGAUUGACGCUGAGGCACGAAAGCGUGGGGAUCAAACA
rnacentral:rRNA from 1 species